UACGUAGGGGGCGAGCGUUGUCCGGAGUUACUGGGCGUAAAGCGCACGCAGGCGGUUUCGUACGUCUGGAGUGACAGUUCCCGGCUCAACUGGGAAAGGUCUUUGGAAACGGCGAGACUUGAGGGCUUCAGAGGGACACGGAAUUCCGGGUGGAGUGGUGAAAUGCGUAGAGAUCCGGAGGAACACCAAUGGCGAAGGCAGUGUCCUGGGAAGCAUCUGACGCUCAGGUGCGAAAGCUAGGGGAGCGAACAGG
rnacentral:rRNA from 3 species